rnacentral:rRNA from 1 species
UACGUAGGCAGCAAGCGUUGUUCGGAGUUACUGGGCGUAAAGGGUGUGUAGGCGGUCUUCUAAGUUUGGUGUGAAAUCUCCCGGCUCAACUGGGAGGGUGCGCCGAAAACUGGGAGGCUAGAGUGCGGGAUGGGAGAGUGGAAUUCCCGGUGUAGCGGUGAAAUGCGCAGAUAUCGGGAAGAACACCCGUGGCGAAGGCGGCUCUCUGGGACGGUACUGACGCUGAGACGCGAAAGCGUGGGGAGCGAACAGG